rnacentral:rRNA from 1 species
UACGUAGGGACCAAGCGUUGUUCGGAUUUACUGGGCGUAAAGGGCGCGUAGGCGGCAUGACAAGUCACUUGUGAAAUCUCUGGGCUUAACUCAGAACGGCCAAGUGAUACUGUCGCGCUUGAGUGCAGAAAGGGCAAUCGGAAUUCUUGGUGUAGCGGUGAAAUGCGUAGAUAUCAAGAGGAACACCUGAGGCGAAGGCGGGUAGCUGGGCCAACACUGACGCUGAUGCGCGAAAGCUAGGGGAGCAAACGGG